CCUGAUCCAGCCAUGCCGCGUGUGUGAAGAAGGCCCUCGGGUUGUAAAGCACUUUCAGCGAGGAAGAACGCCUAGCGGUUAAUACCCGCUAGGAAAGACAUCACUCGCAGAAGAAGCACCGGCUAACUCCGUGCCAGCAGCCGCGGUAAUACGGAGGGUGCAAGCGUUAAUCGGAAUUACUGGGCGUAAAGCGCGCGUAGGUGGCUUGAUAAGCCGGUUGUGAAAGCCCCGGGCUCAACCUGGGAACGGCAUCCGGAACUGUCAAGCUAGAGUGCAGGAGAGGAAGGUAGAAUUCCCGGUGUAGCGGUGAAAUGCGUAGAGAUCGGGAGGAAUACCAGUGGCGAAGGCGGCCUUCUGGACUGACACUGACACUGAGGUGCGAAAGCGUGGGUAGCAAACAGGAUUAGAUACCCUGGUAGUCCACGCCGUAAACGAUGUCGACCAGCCGUUGGGUGCCUAGCGCACUUUGUGGCGAAGUUAACGCGAUAAGUCGACCGCCUGGGGAGUACGGCCGCAAGGUUAAAACUCA
rnacentral:rRNA from 1 species